GAUGGGUUCCCUGAUGGAAGGGGGGGGGGGGUGUGUUUGUGCCGCCCCGUUCCCCCUUCCCUGCGGGGGCUGCUCCGUGAUGAGCCCGUUCACAGACCUGAGCUGACCGCGGGGUGAAGGCUCGUGUAUCUCUGAGGGAGCCGCGCUCCCCGGGAGGGGUGGGGUGGGGGGGGGACAGCGGGACCAGCGCCGCUCCCUCCUUAACGCCGCUUCAUCCGCAGGCUCAGCCCCCGCCAUGGAGCCGCUGUCGCCGGGGGGCGGGGGGUGACGCAACCCCGAGAGUGACCCCCACGAUGGCCAGUGGGGCUGAAUGUGAGGCCCGGCCCUGGACACCCCAUGGGAGCAGGUGGCACGAGCCGAGGGCGGGGCCGGAGAUGUGCCCCCGCUCGGAUGGAUCCCGCGGCCUCGUGUCACAAGUUCAAUGAAAUCGAUAUUUUUGUUCAAUAAAAUGGAUAUUUUUGAUACAAAA
rnacentral:lncRNA from 1 species